AACGUAGGAGACAAACGUUAUCCGGAGUUACUGGGCGUAAAGGGCGUGUAGGCGGUUUGUUAAGUCUGGCGUGAAAGCUCUCGGCUAAACCGGGAGAGGUCGUUUGGAUACUGGCGAAGCUAGAGGAUGGUAGAGGCGUGUGGAAUUCCGGGUGUAGUGGUGAAAUGCGUAGAGAUCCGGAGGAACACCAGUGGCGAAGGCGACACGCUGGGCCGUACCUGACACUGAUGCGCGACAGCAUGGGGAGCAAACAGG
rnacentral:rRNA from 1 species